rnacentral:rRNA from 1 species
AUGCUCACCAUGCCCACGGUCGACGCCACAGAGAAGUUCAUCCAGGAGGAAGAGACCUCGGGAAGCAACAGCCCGUCGCCGACGGCCAGGGAGCGGCGGCGCCGCGGCGGCUACAGCCUACACGUGAAGCCGUGCGGCGGGCUGAAGAGGAGGAUGCCAGCUGCAGACUCCGGUGGCGACCACCGUGCCGUAGAGGCGACGCGCGAGGCGCUGGCGCUGGCUGCAGGAGAGCCUCGUCGUGGUAAAGGAGUCAGGGGACCCGGACUUCCCGGCGAUCAUGGCGGAGAUGAUCACGCCGCCGAGCACAACCACGCCAUCGUCGCCGCGUUCCGAACCACGGCGUCGUGA